rnacentral:pre_miRNA from 13 species
CGCUCAUAUAAUUUUGAUUGUUGCUCAGAAAGCCUUUCACUUGACACUUGGCUUUCGAGUAAUAAUCGAAACCAAAUAAGCG